GAUGAACGCUGGCGGCGUGCCUAAUACAUGCCAGUCGAGCGAACGGACGAGAAGCUUGCUUCUCUGAUGUUAGCGGCGGACGGGUGAGUAACACGUGGAUAACCUACCUAUAAGACUGGGAUAACUUCGGGAAACCGGAGCUAAUACCGGAUGAUAUUUUGAACCGCAUGGUUCAAAAGUGAAAGACGGUCUUGCUGUCACUUAUAGAUGGAUCCGCGCUGCAUUAGCUAGUUGGUAAGGUAACGGCUUACCAAGGCAACGAUGCAUAGCCGACCUGAGAGGGUGAUCGGCCACACUGGAACUGGGACACGGUCCAGACUCCUACGGGAGGCAGCAGUAGGGAAUCUUCCGCAAUGGGCGAAAGCCUGACGGAGCAACGCCGCGUGAGUGAUGAAGGUCUUCGGAUCGUAAAACUCUGUUAUUAGGGAAGAACAUAUGUGUAAGUAACUGUGCACAUCUUGACGGUACCUAAUCAGAAAGCCACGGCUAACUACGUG
rnacentral:rRNA from 1 species